GCUAUUAUAAUUUCAUGAAACUUGUAGUAAAUCAUGCUUUGAAACCCAAAUAAUAUCAUGAACAUGAAUACAACAAAAUUCAACAUGAAAUUCAUGAAAGCAAUCAACUUGUAGUUUUAAAAGAGGUUCUUGAACAACAAGAGUGGAAGAAAACCCUUGGAUAAACACCUAACAUACCUUGGAAAUCAAAUUCGUGAAGAUUGAUGGUGUGUUCUUGAAGCUUGAAUU
rnacentral:lncRNA from 1 species